rnacentral:misc_RNA from 1 species
UUUUUUUUUUUUUUUUUUUGGUGCGCUUUGCACUCUUGUUUGCACAAAAUCUACUUGUUUUUCUAAAUGCCCUUCGCUUAGCAUAUGUAAAAGCACUUUUCUCUCAAUCACUAUGCUUAUGCUCUUUAGCGAGCUCCUUUUGUGCUUUUGACUACACUACUAUUAGCACGUAUGGAUCUUCUAGCUACAAACAUUGACUCAUUAUUGCUUAAUGCACAAGCAGAAGGAACAAAUUGAGAUUUCCCUCAUUAAAUAUUCCAUGGGAAGAACAAGAUUUGCCAGGAAAUAAUUCUUUAUGAAAGAUGACAACCUUCAAGUUCACGUAGGCGAUGCA